rnacentral:rRNA from 1 species
GAUGAACGCUGGCGGCGUGCCUAAUACAUGCAAGUCGAGCGAACAGACGAGGAGCUUGCUCCUCUGACGUUAGCGGCGGACGGGUGAGUAACACGUGGAUAACCUACCUAUAAGACUGGGAUAACUUCGGGAAACCGGAGCUAAUACCGGAUAAUAUAUUGAACCGCAUGGUUCAAUAGUGAAAGACGGUUUUGCUGUCACUUAUAGAUGGAUCCGCGCCGCAUUAGCUAGUUGGUAAGGUAACGGCUUACCAAGGCAACGAUGCGUAGCCGACCUGAGAGGGUGAUCGGCCACAAUGGAACUGAGACACGGUCCAGACUCCUAAGGGAGGCAGCAGUAGGGAAUCUUCCGCAAUGGGCGAAAGCUUGACGGAGCAACGCCGCGUGAGUGAUGAAGGUCUUCGGAUCGUAAAACUCUGUUAUUAGGGAAGAACAAAUGUGUAAGUAACUAUGCACGUCUUGACGGUACCUAAUCAGAAAGCCACGGCUAACUACGUG